rnacentral:misc_RNA from 1 species
CAACCCUCAAGCUCUGCUUGGUAUUGGGCCGCGUCGGCAACGACGGGCCUCAAAAGUAGUGGCGGCGCCGGUCGCGUCCUCAGCGUAGUAAUUCUUCUCGCUGUUGGGUGCGGGCGGCCGCUGGCCAGCAACCCCAAACUUUCUAU